CCGAGCCGAGCCGAGCCGAGCCGAGCCGAGCCGAGCCGCUGGCGGCCGCGGGCAUGGAACUGGGCGCGGUGCUGGAGGCCGUGGAGGGGCGCGGCAGCGCUGAGGCGGUGGAGCGAGUCCUGGCGCGGUACAACGAGGAGAAUCGGACCAUUUUCAGAUUUGAUCCAGCAGAUGAAGACAAAAGAAAGAAACUGUGUGAGGGAAUUCUGAACAUCCUUGAAAAAGACACAAAAACUUCAUGUCAAGUUGCCUGCUUGGAGGCCCUCCGGAUUCUCUCCAGGGACAAGAAGGUUUUAGUGCCUGUAACCACGAAGAGGAACAUGCAGAUCCUCAUGAGGCUAGCAAAGCUGGACACUGCAGAAGAUCCUUUGGAGAGAGUCUCUGAAUUUCCUGUUAUAGUAGAAGCUUUAAAAUGCCUCUGUAAUAUAAUUUUUAAUAGUGCUGUUGCACAGAAGCUCAGUUUGGAACUGAAUCUUGCAGCUAUGCUCUGCAAUCUUCUGGGAAAAUGUAAGGACCAACAGUUCAUUGAUGACAUUAAAUGCUUUGAUUUGCGUCUCCUCUUCCUCUUGUCACUUCUGCACACAGAUAUCAGAUCACAGUUGCGUCAAGAACUACAAGGGGUGCAAGUUUUGACUCAGGCUUUGGAAAGUUCCCUGAGUGUAAGAUGGACAGAAGAAUACAAAGCAGCAGAAGAUCGUGACAGGCCUCCUCUGUCUUUGCAAGAGACAGAUUGUGCCAUUGAGGCACUAAAAGCUCUUUUUAAUGUAACACUUGACAGUUGGAAUGUCCACAGUGAGAAUGAAUCUCAUCAAUUUCGUUACAUGGCUGCCAUCCUUCGACACUGCUUAUUAACCAUGGGCCCUACUGAAGACAAAACUGAAGAGUUGCACAGCAAUGCAAUCAACCUCUUAAGCAAUGUUCCCGUUUCUUGCUUGGAUGUUCUUAUUAAACCAUCAUCCCAAGAGGAAACAGAUAUAAAAUACAAUGGUAUGAAUAUGGGAGCAAUCCAGAUUUUACUGGAUUUCAUGGAGAAGAGAAUAGACAAGGGAAGCAGCUAUAGAGAAGGUCUGACUCCAGUUCUCAGUUUAUUAACUGAAUGCUGCCGAACUCAUAGGAAUAUCAGGAAGUUUAUCAAAGCUCAGGUAUUACCUCCAUUAAGAGAUGUAUCAAAUCGUCCAGAAGUUGGCACAACAGUGAGGAACAAGCUUGUGCGUCUUAUGACACAUGUUGACCUUGGAGUAAAGCAGAUUGCAGCAGAAUUUCUUUUCGUUCUUUGUAAAGAGAGAGUUGACAGCUUGUUAAAAUAUACAGGCUAUGGAAAUGCGGCGGGAUUGCUGGCAGCAAGGGGCCUGUUAGCAGGAGGAAGAGGAGAUCACUGGUACUCAGAUGAUGAAGAUACAGAUACAGAAGAAUACAAAUCUGCAAAGCCAAACAUUAACCUUAUCACUGGUCAUCUAGAAGAACCAAUGCCCAAUCCAAUGGAUGAAAUGACAGAAGAACAAAAAGAAUAUGAAGCCAUGAAGCUUGUCAACAUGUUUGACAAACUUUCCAGGAUUAGGACCCCUUUAACUGCAGAGAAAAAUCUUUAGCACUUCAAAGAAAAGAGUAAUGUGUAACAGGACUUCAGAGGAAACCUGUUUUGGAGAGGAUUGGACAGAAUCAGGAGGAUCUGGUGGUGAGGGGACCUGCCUCCUAAAUGGAUAGGCUGAGAUGAGCUUAUAAAACCAAUGGGAGUGCGGCCGGAUGGUACAAUGGCUCCUUUGGAAGAAGCAGUCAGCCAGUACCAUACCAACAAGCAAGACAGUUCAGAUUCAGACUAAAGCAUCACCUGCUUCGCUCUCAAUUCUUCUGUAAUCCACACAUUUCCUUAGAGCCACAACAUCUUUUAUCUAGGCAUUUUAUCCUCACAUUAGCCAGCAUUACUUUAACUCUUUUAUUAUUGGGAUAUUAAAAUAUGGUAUAAUGUCUGAAUUUUUAUUAUGUAUGUUUAAAGAACAUACCAGUGUAUUAGUUUAUGGACUUUAUUAAUUUAAAACUAAACAUACUUCAAAGGGAUAAAAAGUGAAAGCCUACAAUGUAAAAUAAAAUACAAACACUUCAGUUUUCCAGAAUCCUGUUUUCUGAACUCUGUAGGUUUUCCCAUUCUUGAUAUUUUUUUUGUAUUGUCUUGCCAGUCUUCCCCUUUAUAUAAUUGUAAUAAAAGAAGCGUGUUUGUUGAAUGGCAUUAGGAGCAGAGGGUGUUUAAACUUGGAAGUCUGACCCUGUGAAGCUGCUUUGACUGAUUUUUUUAAAUGCCACUGGAUUUCUUACUGCUACACACUUCUGUGGUUAAGCUGCUGCUUAGGAUUUUACCAAUGUGUCAGUCACUGACUGCUGCUAAAAUUACCUUUAAAUUGGGAACAAGAUGAUGUAUGGAGUUUGUUCUACCUCCUCUGCCCUGUUAAGACCACACGAAUAUACCCCGCCCCCCGUCUUCAGUUAAAAACAUCCCUAUUCAAAGGAGCAUUCAAGUAUGUAAACUUAAAUGUUGCCAUGAAUGGGAGUGGACUAAAGUGAAGUGCAUGUGUGAGUGUUUUACUGAACUGGAGCCUACUUUUGGAGAUUAACAAGAAUGCCUCACUUGAAGGGAAGUCAAACUAAUCAACAAAGAAAUAUUUCCUUUUAGGGAGAAUUUAGGAAGUGAUGGGAUGGAGAAUGGGAAGGUAGGAAGGAGAAGAAAGUGUCUUCUUCUUUCGACUGUACUCUUAAAACAAAGAUUAAAGUUUUAGACGUGCUGCA